GCUCAGGAUGAACGCUAGCUACAGGCCUAACACAUGCAAGUCGAGGGGCAGCGGGGUUGAAGCUUGCUUCAACUGCCGGCGACCGGCGCACGGGUGAGUAACACGUAUCCAACCUUCCGUUUACUCAGGGAUAGCCUUUCGAAAGAAAGAUUAAUACCUGAUAGUAUGGUGAGAUUGCAUGAUAGCACCAUUAAAGAUUCAUCGGUAAACGAUGGGGAUGCGUUCCAUUAGCUUGUUGGCGGGGUAACGGCCCACCAAGGCGACGAUGGAUAGGGGUUCUGAGAGGAAGGUCCCCCACAUUGGAACUGAGACACGGUCCAAACUCCUACGGGAGGCAGCAGUGAGGAAUAUUGGUCAAUGGGCGAGAGCCUGAACCAGCCAAGUAGCGUGA
rnacentral:rRNA from 1 species